rnacentral:rRNA from 1 species
AUUGAACGCUGGCGGCAUGCCUUACACAUGCAAGUCGAACGGUAACGGGCCUUCGGGUGCCGACGAGUGGCGAACGGGUGAGUAAUGCAUCGGAACGUACCUUUCAGUGGGGGAUAACGUAGCGAAAGUUACGCUAAUACCGCAUAUUCUGUGAGCAGGAAAGCAGGGGAUCGCAAGACCUUGCGCUGAUUGAGCGGCCGAUGUCAGAUUAGCUAGUUGGUGAGGUAAAAGGCUCACCAAGGCGACGAUCUGUAGCGGGUCUGAGAGGAUGAUCCGCCACACUGGAACUGAGACACGGUCCAGACUCCUACGGGAGGCAGCAGUGGGGAAUUUUGGACAGUGGGGGCAACCCUGAUCCAGCCAUGCCGCGUGAGUGAAGAAGGCCUCGGUGUAAG